rnacentral:rRNA from 1 species
CGGCCGCGUCGACGAAACAGUACCUGAAACGGAUUGCCUACAAGCAGUUGGAGGGUCCUUGAGGCCUGACAGCGUACCUCUUGCAUAAUGGGUCUGUGACUUAAUGUAUCAAGCAAGCUUAAGCCGAUAGGUGUAGGCGCAGCGAAAGCGAGUCUGAAUAGGGCGACAUAGUUUGAUGUAUUAGACCCGAAACCCGGCGAUCUAGGCAUGACCAGGAUGAAGGUGCGGUAACACGCACUGGAGGUCCGAACCGAUUAACGUUGAAAAGUUACCGGAUGAGUUGUGUUUAGGGGUGAAAGGCCAAUCAAGCCGGGAAAUAGCUGGUUCUCCGCGUGUCGACGCGGCCG